AUGGCCGCGGGGCCGGUCAAGAUCGUGGUCCUCGCCGUCUUGAUUGCCGCGGUGGUGGCGACCAGCUACUUCCUCCGGUACCGGUGCCCCCGCCUGCCGUCCCCGUUCCUGCCGGGCGCCGCGCCGAAGCUGCUGAUCGUGGUGACCAACGAGCAGCAGGUGGGCGAGGAGCUGGACAUGGCGGACGGCAACGUGCAGCUGCUGUGCCACGGCUACAGCGAGCACAACCUGAGCGCGCCGGUCUGGUCGGAGCGGGCGGAGAUCCCCAGCGCGGAGGAGGCGCGCAUGUCGAUCCCGGCGGUGCGCGGCGACGAGGUGUUCGAGGUGCUCUGCUCCUACCGCGGCGCCAACCUCUGCUGGGCGCACGGCGUGCGCAUCUUCUGGAACCCCGGCCACGACCUGCUCCUCUGCAGGGAGGACGGCGGCGGGUGCAAGGUCAGGUUCCGGGAGGACGGCGGCGUCGAGAAGCAGUACGGGACGCUGGGCAGCAACCACGGGAUGGAGACGCAGCCGCCGAUGUUCCUCGGCUUCGCGCCGGACUUCGACAACGCCAGGGACGGCGGCUGUGCCUCCUCCAGCUGCGUCGGCAGGACCGUCAACAGGGUCAUCGGCGAGGAGAGCUGCUGCGACGACUCCUGCGGCGGGUGGGAGAAGGCAAACCCGAAGAUGUCGUCCUGA
rnacentral:rRNA from 1 species